rnacentral:rRNA from 1 species
UGGGGAAUUUUGGACAAUGGGCGCAAGCCUGAUCCAGCAAUGCCGCGUGAGUGAAGAAGGCCUUCGGGUUGUAAAGCUCUUUUGUCAGGGAAGAAACGGUUGGGGCUAAUAUCCUCGGCUAAUGACGGUACCUGAAGAAUAAGCACCGGCUAACUACGUGCCAGCAGCCGCGGUAAUACGUAGGGUGCAAGCGUUAAUCGGAAUUACUGGGCGUAAAGCGUGCGCAGGCGGUUUUGUAAGUCUGUCGUGAAAGCCCCGGGCUUAACCUGGGAAUUGCGAUGGAGACUGCAAGGCUUGAAUCUGGCAGAGGGGGGUAGAAUUCCACGUGUAGCAGUGAAAUGCGUAGAGAUGUGGAGGAACACCGAUGGCGAAGGCAGCCCCCUGGGUCAAGAUUGACGCUCAUGCACGAAAGCGUGGGGAGCAAACA